rnacentral:rRNA from 1 species
GACGAACGCUGGCGGCGUGCUUAACACAUGCAAGUCGAGGGCACUUUGGGGGGCAACUCUGGAGUGACCGGCGAACGGGUGCGUAACACGUGAGCGACCUUGCCUCGUGGUGGGGGAUAGCCGGCCCAACGGCCGGGUAAUACCGCAUAGGGUGGUCUUUUCGCAUGGAGAGACUAGCAAAGCCCUGGAGCAAUCCAGUGGCGCCACAGGGGGGGCUCGCGGCCUAUCAGCUAGUUGGGGGGGGAAGUGGCCCACCCAAGGCGACGACGGGUAGGCUGGUCUGAGAGGAUGGCCAGCCACAUU